UACGGAGGGAGCUAGCGUUGUUCGGAAUUACUGGGCGUAAAGCGCGCGUAGGCGGCUUUGUAAGUUAGAGGUGAAAGCCCGGGGCUCAACCCCGGAAUUGCCUUUAAGACUGCAUCGCUUGAAUCCGGGAGAGGUGAGUGGAAUUCCGAGUGUAGAGGUGAAAUUCGUAGAUAUUCGGAAGAACACCAGUGGCGAAGGCGGCUCACUGGACCGGUAUUGACGCUGAGGAGCGAAAGCGUGGGGAGCGAACAGG
rnacentral:rRNA from 1 species